UACGUAGGGCGCAAGCGUUAUCCGGAAUUAUUGGGCGUAAAGAGCGUGUAGGCGGUUUGGUAGGUCCGCUGUGAAAACUCGAGGCUCAACCUCGAGACGCCGGUGGAAACCAUCAGACUAGAGUCCGGAAGAGGAGAGUGGAAUUCCGCGUGUAGUGGUGAAAUGCGUAGAGAUGCGGAGGAACACCAGUGGCGAAAGCGACUUUCUGGUCCGUAACUGACGCUGAGGCGCGAAAGCAUGGGGAGCGAACGGG
rnacentral:rRNA from 1 species